rnacentral:rRNA from 1 species
UACGGAGGAUGCGAGCGUUAUCCGGAUUCAUUGGGUUUAAAGGGUGCGCAGGCGGCCUGGCAAGUCAGCGGUGAAAGCCCGGGGCCCAACCCCGGAAGUGCCGUUGAUACUGUUGGGCUCGAAUGCGGUCGAGGCGGGCAACGUGGCGUGUAGCGGUGAAAUGCGUAGAUAUGCCACAGAACGCCGAUAGCGAAGGCAGCUCGCCAGGCCUGCACUGACGCUCGGGCACGAAAGCGUGGGGAUCGAACAG